GAGGAGACUUGAUCCGAGGGCCAGACGGGUGUCGCCCUAGUGACCCAGGAGGGUCUUCUGAAGUGACCCAGUCUCUGUAGUACUCCGGCAAUAAAGACCGACCAGCGACGGUGAAAAAAAACUGGAAGGCCUCCCGGCUGCAGUGAGGCGGAACGUCUUUUGGCCAGAAACCGAAAGAAGAAAUCGGAAGUGACGUCGCGGUCAAAACAAGCCGGGGUUUGGGGGCCUGCAGUGACUCUGUGGCCGCAGAUGGAAAGGCCCGACUCGCUGUCGGCUGUCGAAGAUUUUUCAAUAUCUGAAUUCCAAGAACACAGUGGAUACCACUCCUAUAAAAUGAAGAGGAAAUCAUGAAGGAGUGUUUUAAUUA
rnacentral:lncRNA from 1 species